GACGGGAGUUGUCGCCCGCUCCCCGUCAAUUGCCUACUUCGCUGAGGACCUCGCAUUUCACGGCUAGAUUUCGCUGACCUGACUCUGGAUCAGGUAAUCGGUGGUUCGAAUCCACCCUCCGUCC
rnacentral:tRNA from 1 species